rnacentral:rRNA from 1 species
GAUUUCUGGUUCGGCGCACUUGGCCCGUCUCGGUUUACGAGAUUGUGUGCCGGUGUGCGCCAUCCAUCCUUCGAUGAAAACAUUUCUACCCUUCAUUGGGUUGGGAGUGCUAUCUCGAUCUUUUACUUUGAAAAAAUUAGAGUGUUUAAAGCAGGCUUGCGCUAUGAAUACAUUAGCAUGGAAUAAUAAUUUAGGACUUUGGUCUUAUUUUGUUGGUUUCUAGGACUAAAGUAAUGAUUGAUAGGGACAGUUGGGGGUGCUAGUAUUCCGCGGCCAGAGGUGAAAUUCUUGGAUUCGCGGAAGACUAACUACUGCGAAAGCAUU